rnacentral:rRNA from 1 species
UACGUAGGGACCAAGCGUUGUUCGGAUUUACUGGGCGUAAAGGGCGCGUAGGCGGCGCGGUAAGUCACUUGUGAAAUCUCUGAGCUUAACCCAGAACGGCCAAGUGAUACUGCAGUGCUAGAGUGUGGAAGGGGCAAUCGGAAUUCUUGGUGUAGCGGUGAAAUGCGUAGAUAUCAAGAGGAACACCUGAGGUGAAGGCGACUUUCUGGUCUGUAACUGACACUGAGGCGCGAAAGCGUGGGGAGCGAACAGG